CUGCAAACUUAUCUCACUAUAUGUUUGCUUGGAAAUUCAGAGGACCAAAUGUUGAACCAAACCAGGCACCCUGGGGAUUUCAGCCCCACCAGGAGAUUGCCUCGAGACCAUGGUCAACUUAUGACCUAGCUCUGCCCACGAUAGCACCAGCCAGACCACCCAAUGGAUAAGAUAUUGAAAUAAGUCAUGCAGACCCCACCAUCUCCUCCCCAGUCCCCUGCAUGCCUUUCAUGCCAAGUUCCCCUUUAAAGCUCCUGCUUUCUGCUUGUACAGGUGAAGCUGUUCCCUUACGGCAGAAGCCUGUAUCUUCUUCCCCUCAGCCAAGCUCUGGAAUGGUCACCUUCUCUCUGUCUGACCUCACUCUUGUUAACUGGACUCUGCAAGCAGUGAGCAGCAGGCCCUGCAUUCAUUCCAAGCCCCUCGCAAUCCACUGCUCCAGGUUUCCUUUGGAUGCAGCAGAACCACUUGUUGCUUUGUACAUAUUGCCAUUAGUGCGGAGACACAGCAGGGACCGCUCUUAGCGGGGGGCCAUCCCCCAGCUCCUAAGUGUGGAAAUAAAGGAAAAUCUUGAGUGCCUUCAAGGGAAAUUCCAAACACCCAGCUAGCUCUGAGAAGUAAAUGAACAACUUGAUAAGCAAUAAGGUAAUAGUAACUUAAAACAGUAGCCAAGGAAGUUAAAGUCAUAGGGUGUUUGCUUCCCUAUAGAAACUAAAGAUACCAUGCUAACAUAUGACUCUGAGUUGUUUUUCAGGAACCCACACCCC
rnacentral:lncRNA from 1 species